rnacentral:rRNA from 1 species
GAUGAACGCUGACAGAAUGCUUAACACAUGCAAGUCGAUGGGGAAGUGGUGCUUGCACCAUGGCAACCAUGGCGGACGGGUGAGUAACGCGUAAGGGACUUACCUGCAGGACUGGGAUAACAGGGGGAAACUCCUGACAAGACCGGAUAAUGUCAUGGAGCUGCAUGGCUUUAUGAUGAAAGGAGACGCCUGCGGAGAGCCUUGCGUCCCAUUAGCUAGUUGGUGAGGUAAUGGCUCACCAAGGCGAAGAUAGGUAGCCGGCCUGAGAGGGUGGGCGGCCACAAGGGGACUGAGAUACGGCCCUUACUCCUACGGGAGGCAGCAGUGGGGAAUAUUGGACAAUGGGGGCAACCCUGAUCCAGCAAUUCUGUGUGCACGAAGAAGGUUUUCGGAUUGUAAAGUGCUUUCAGCAGGGAAGAAGUAAGUGACGGUACCUGCAGAAGAAGCGACGGCUAAAUACGUG